AUGGGGAUGGCCAUGCCCGCCCCGAUGCCGCCGGCCGAUGUCAGUGAGAGUAUCACCACCGACAACGGCUCCAACGAGCUCUCCAUGAGCUCCUGGGACGACACCAACUCCAACAUCAUGUUCUUCGUGCCUGGAAGCAAGAAGGCCAAGGUGCUCAUCAAUGGUGACAACGGCAUGGUCACCAACUUCAGCAAAAUCAAAUCCCAAUUUGGCCUGUCGAGCACGUCUUUGGACAUGCCCGGCAUGGACGGCUACUUGCAGCCGCAGCAGGACUUCGUCGCCUGCAUACAAAGAAGAACAAGCAUUAGCAAGAGGCUAAGGAGGCUGCAAGACCUUGUGCCCAACAUGGACAAGUGUUGCCCAUGGAAAUUCAGAACCUUGGUAGUUGUCGAUGACUCGGACCUUAGUUACUUCAGAUUUCAUAAUAGCAUUUGCGCAGCUAUUCUCUCGGAGAAGUCGUUCAAUACAAUUGCUGGAAACAUGUUAAGUUUCUUCUUGAAGACGCAACAAACAAAUACUUCAGACAUGCUGGAUAUUGUUGUAGACUACAUCAAAGGGCUGCGUUUGUUGACAAACAUGCAAGAUCUAUUUUCUGUGUUUCCAACCUGCAUGUUUGGCUACAAUGGCUUGAUCAGAGAUGUGAGGAAUAUAUCAAUUGUUUCCCGUGGUAUUUGCCAUAUUUUUGUUUCAUACAUCUCCAAUUCGUCACUUUUUAGUUCCCAAGAUGCUGCUGAAAUGCAGAUUAAAUCACUCAAGCAUGCUCGUACCUGCAGCCCUCAGUGGCGAGACAAAGGAUUCAGCCAUGGGAAGCGUUCUUGCCAAGUACAUACGGUUGGAUCUUGUGGCUCCUCCGUUGCACCAUGGAAUCGGCUUGACAAGCAGCGCACGUUGAACAGCGACAAGCAUGGCUAA
rnacentral:rRNA from 1 species